UCGUCGUAGCGGAGCGGCACAAGUGUGUGCCUGUAACGCAAAGGUUGUGGGUUCGAUCCCCACUCGAGGAA
rnacentral:tRNA from 1 species